rnacentral:rRNA from 1 species
AGAAUCAACGCUGGCGGCGUGCCUAACACAUGCAAGUCGAACGAGAAAGGGACUUCGGUCCUGAGUAUAGUGGCGCACGGGUGAGUAACACGUGAAUAAUCUACCUCCGAGUGGGGAAUAACUGGAAGAAAUUUCAGCUAAUACCGCAUAACACUUACGAGUCAAAGCAGCAAUGCGCUUGGAGAGGAGUUCGCGGCAGAUUAGUUAGUUGGCGGGGUAAUGGCCCACCAAGACGAUGAUCUGUAUCCGGCCUGAGAGGGCGCACGGACACACUGGAACUGAAACACGGUCCAGACUCCUACGGGAGGCAGCAGUGGGGAAUUUUGCGCAAUGGGCGAAAGCCUGACGCAGCCAUGCCGCGUGAAUGAUGAAGGUCUUAGGAUUGUAAAAUUCUUUCAGUCGGGGACGAUAAUGACGGUACCCGCAGAAGAAGCCCGGCUAACUUCGCGCCAGCAGCCGCGGUAA